CUCUUUGAUAAAUCUUAUAGUUAGGGCUGGAUCAGGUGAGUCCUGAACCAUCCCUUAGUUAUGCUGCUAUAGGCCUAGACUAUCGGGGGAUUUCCCAUGGUGCACUGAGCUCCUCUCUUCCUCUCUCUUUCUGCACUCAUUCAUGUCCCAUUAAUGUAUGUUACUAACUUCACUUCUUCCCCGGAGUUCUUGUGCUUUCUCGUCUUGCAGGUUCUUAUCGAUCCUGGUGGAGCCUCCUGCCAUGGUCCUGCUAGAUUGCCAUUGCCAAUACUGUUGUUGCUGUGCACCUGUCUGUCUGUCUCUUACUCUGUCUCUGUCUCUCUCUCUCUCUCUUUCACCCCAACUGGUCGAGGCAGAGGACCACCCACCGAGAGCCGAAGGACCUGUCCUAGGUUUCUGCCUUUUAACAGGCAGUUUUUCCUUGCCCUUGUCGCCAAGUGCUUGCUCAUGGUGGUACUGUUGGGUCUCUGUAAAUAAUGUUUUAAAGAGUUCGGUCUAGACCUACUCUAUUUGAAAAGUGUCCUGAGAUAACUUCUGUUAUGAAUUGGCGCUAUACAAAUAAAAUUGAAUUGAAUUGAA